UGCGGGGUCGUCUAACGGUAGGACUGUGGGCUUUGGACCCACUAAUCCAGGUUCAAAUCCUGGCCCCGCAGCCA
rnacentral:tRNA from 4 species